rnacentral:rRNA from 1 species
UACGGGGGGGGCAAGCGUUGUUCGGAAUUACUGGGCGUAAAGGGCUCGUAGGCGGCCAACUAAGUCGGAUGUGAAAUCCCCAGGCUUAACCUGGGAACUGCAUCCGAUACUGGUUGGCUUGAAUCCGGGAGAGGGACGUGGAAUUCCAGGUGUAGCGGUGAAAUGCGUAGAUAUCUGGAGGAACACCGGUGGCGAAGGCGACGUCCUGGACCGGCAUUGACGCUGAGGCGCGAAAGCCAGGGGAGCAAACGGG